AGCUCGGCCUCCUGAUGUCAUUGGACCCCUCAUAGGUUUACGACAGUGUCAGCUCCCGGCAUCUAUCGUAGAACAGUUGGAAACAGCCUUGUUAUGUCCUGUACUCGUGCUCCUGGGUAGCACAGAGUUUUUGCCUUGGGGACCGAGAUGUUUCUCACCAUAGAGCUGCCUAUGAUGACAGCUAGCGAUGUUAAAUGGGCCGGUCUCUCAGGCAGCCUCACGGUCUGGUGAGGGUGGGAGCUCAGAGGAUCUGAACCCGAGGUAGAAGCCACCAGAGAGGGAGACAGAACAGAGGACAAAUACGCAGGAACAUCUGGAUCCAGGGCGUCAAAGACGUUUCUGUUCUGUGUCAGGUCCGGGCUCAACAUCUCCAAACAGACCCUCGUUAUCAGAGGACGCUUUCUUCGACUUCCACGGCGAGUGACGUAUCUCCACGGCUGGUUGGGUCGAGAACAGCUCCGUUCUUCAGGGAAUGAGUCGGGGUCUCCCUCCUUCGUUCUCCAGCUCCAUUCUCCAGUUGGCAGCCGCACAUGUAACAUAGAGAAGACCAGCAAGGGGACCCUCAAUAUCACGCAGGCAUGCCCUCACUGUCAGCUGUAAAUGGAGCAGGGAGGACACUUGAAUCAGAAUGUUUGAUGAGGGGCCAGAAGCUGAUCUCUGCUGCCAUGCCCAUCAAUGUGGCGCUGGCAAAGACCUCACCUCCAGACCUCACCUCCAGCUUCACCCCUUGCCUGCUCACCAACGGUCGUCAAUCGGGAGACCGGGAUUAGAUGUAUCUAUGGAACCAGCACUUGGAGACUUGCAAGAUGAUGUGAUGUAGUUCUGACCGACAGAGAGGCUUGAUACUGACGUCUCUGAAUGGAGAGAGACCUGGCACUCAACACAUCCACAAUGUGGGACUAGUAAUGAUACAGUACAGCAGAAAUGUCCAGUAUUUGCAACACCCUUUCAUUCCAUGAGUAACUGAUAUACUCUGCCUAUUUAUACAGAUGGAGAGAUCUGUAGAUGCUUUUGCCAGACGACAGCCUCGGUCGUUUGAUGGGGAGUCUAUAAUUGAGUAGCUAUUAUCUGACCUGUUCAAACAUUAUCAUACUACCUGUUUGUGUUUCAGAUAUUACAUAUCCUAACUGCCAUUGCUAAUGGAACAAUGACUAUGUGUUUAUGUGUUCACAGAAACAUGUAUUGAGCCAGCACAUGGGGAGACUUGCAAGAUACGAUGAAGUCCAGACUGAGAGACGGGCUUGAUAAUGUUGUCUCUGAAUGGAGAGAGACCUGGCACUUUGCAUUACAAUUUUACUAGACAUAACUUUGACUUGUAUUGUCUUUUUUUAUUAUUGAAUUGAAUGGUAUCAGUCAAUAUGGGGAGGGAGAAACCCGGUGUAUUAUUCAUUCAGGAUUAGGGUACUUCAUUCAGGAUUAGGGUAACAGACCACACAGGAAGUUAUGACCACCCUGACAUGUUUGCCAAGAUAGCCCCAUUACCACCAGGCAAAAUGUUGAUAGGCAAAGUAUCUGUAUAGACAUUGUUGUAUUAGCAGAAC